GACGGACGCUGGCGGCGUGCCUAAUACAUGCAAGUUGAGCGAUGAAGAUUGGUGCUUGCACCAAUUUGAAGAGCAGCGAACGGGUGAGUAACGCGUGGGGAAUCUGCCUUUGAGCGGGGGACAACAUUUGGAAACGAAUGCUAAUACCGCAUAACAACUUUAAACAUAAGUUUUAAGUUUGAAAGAUGCAAUUGCAUCACUCAAAGAUGAUCCCGCGUUGUAUUAGCUAGUUGGUGAGGUAAAGGCUCACCAAGGCGAUGAUACAUAGCCGACCUGAGAGGGUGAUCGGCCACAUUGGGACUGAGACACGGCCCAAACUCCUACGGGAGGCAGCAGUAGGGAAUCUUCGGCAAUGGACGAAAGUCUGACCGAGCAACGCCGCGUGAGUGAAGAAGGUUUUCGGAUCGUAAAACUCUGUUGGUAGAGAAGAACGUUGGUGAGAGUGGAAAGCUCAUCAAGUGACGGUAACUACCCAGAAAGGGACGGCUAACUACGUG
rnacentral:rRNA from 1 species